rnacentral:tRNA from 1 species
GAGGGGGCUGGGGGGUGGGUUGCCCCGCGCGCGCCUCUCGCGCUGGGACCAGCGUUCUCGGCGCCACCCCCUUCCC